ensembl:snRNA U1 U1 spliceosomal RNA
AUACUUACCUGGCAAGGGUGAUUCCAUGAUCAUGAAGGUGGUUUCCCCAGGGUAUGGCUUAUCCAUUGUGGUCAGGAUGGGCUAACCCCUGGGAUUUCCCUAAAUGAGGGGAAAUUCAACUGCAUAAUUUGUGAUAGUGGGGGGACUGUAUUCACACUCUCCCCUG